rnacentral:tRNA from 2 species
GCGCGGGUGGCGAAAUUGGCAGACGCGCCAGAUUUAGGAUCUGGUUCUUAGGAGUGCGGGUUCGAGUCCCGCCCCGCGCACCA